rnacentral:rRNA from 1 species
AGCAGCAGCCGCGGUAAUACGUAGGGUGCAAGCGUUAAUCGGAAUUACUGGGCGUAAAGCGUGCGCAGGCGGUUAUAUAAGACAGAUGUGAAAUCCCCGGGCUCAACCUGGGAACUGCAUUUGUGACUGUAUAGCUAGAGUACGGCAGAGGGGGAUGGAAUUCCGCGUGUAGCAGUGAAAUGCGUAGAUAUGCGGAGGAACACCGAUGGCGAAGGCAAUCCCCUGGGCCUGUACUGACGCUCAUGCACGAAAGCGUGGGGAGCAAACAGGAUUAGAUACCCGAGUAGUCCCUGUCUCUUAUAC